GAUGAACGCUGGCGGCGUGCCUCAAACAUGCAAGUCGAGCGAGGCUAUGAGUUACCGCAAGGUAAGGCAUAGCCUAGCGGCGAACGGGUGAGUAACACGUGGGUAACCUACCUGGAAGACAGGGAUAACGAUUCGAAAGGGUCGCUAAUACCUGAUAAUAUCCAUCUGCCGGAUGGCGGAGGGAAGAAAGGGGAAACCCGCUUUCAGAUGGGCCCGCGUCCCAUCAGCUAGUUGGUAAGGUAAAGGCUUACCAAGGCGACGACGGGUAGCCGGUCUGAGAGGAUGUACGGCCACACUGGGACUGAGAUACGGCCCAGACUCCUACGGGAGGCAGCAGUUGGGAAUCUUAGGCAAUGGACGAAAGUCUGACCUAGCGACGCCGCGUGAGGGAAGAAGGCCUUCGGUUGUAAACCUCUGUCAUGGGGAAGAAGGAAGUGAGGUACCCCAAGAGGAAGCCCCUGCUAACUACGUG
rnacentral:rRNA from 1 species